rnacentral:lncRNA from 7 species
UUUUGGUAGCUGAGGUAGGCAUGAAUGCUCUACUGGAGGAAGAGAGUGCCAAGAACUUUUGCUUGAUCCUUAAGGCUAUGAGCUGUUGCUUUAGAUGACCUUGGGAACUUGUUCAAGUGGAUCAGAUUUGCCCCUACUUAGGAUUGCUAUCAGCCAAUGUGGAUGACAGUCUCUGCCUGAGAAAUACAUCGAGGCGAAUGGUCACCACUGAGGAGGCAAAGAACAUUGUGCCCAGCAUGGUGAAUCGCCACAAAGAGGUUCCUCCGAGCAGCCAUGGGGUGGUGGCACAUACUGCUCUGGUGUCCAGGAUGAUUUGAUGGAGAAUGUCUGCAAACAGGUGGGGGAUCCUGCACCAGGGACAGCCUCAGAUGUUGAAGUAUCUCAUAAUAUCUCACCUAGAGGUGUCUGGAACAAGAGCACGGUUGGGCAGCAGAACAAUGGGGACUCACAGCCAUCUGCUGAUGACAGACUGUCUCUUUCCAUUUAGUCUGUUGCUGUUUUUCCUUCUGACUUUAAAUUCUUUCCCUUGUUCGUAUAAACAGAAGGUGAAAAAGCUUCACACAGACCAACCUCAGGCCUGUUAGGGUAAUCAGUGACAGCAGUCUAGGUCCUAAUAGAAGAAAAUAAGAGCAUGCUGCAGCCAAAAGAAAAAGAAAACAAGUCACUUUUGCUUUCCUUUAUAACUGCAUCCCACAGAGACAGAAACACAUUACCAGCAAGUCUGGAGACAUUUUCAUGAAACUCUUAGUUUAAGCAGCUACAACAAUGCAUGUAUUUGCCCAAAGAUUGAAAACGUUGCAUUUGUAGUGUAGAAAUGAUGUAAUGUCUGCCAUGCAGCCUGGUUUGUAAACAGUUAAAUCAGAACUGUAAAGAAAAGUGUUGUGCAAACAUGACUUUGCCAGCAGGUCUCCUGAGCACUGAGUGUUGGAUCUGCUUGGACCCUCCAGUAUCUCUUCAGAGUUGUAGCAAGCCUUCUCUGCACACUGCUGCUGCCUUUUUGCAGUUUGGUAGGCUGCAAAGGAAUAGAAUCACUUAUAAGUUGGUGGUUUCACAGGAGGCAAUUUACUGAUGUUAGUAAAAGGAAAAAACUGCCCUACCAGCUUAGUCACUCUGCCUCUGCUGAGCAGAAGACUCCUCCUAACAUUGGACCAGUUUGUUAGUCCAGCUUCAAAGAAUUAAUGCAGUAGUAGGAUCUGCCCACUGACUCAUUCUGCUCCUCAUGAGUACCUGAAAAGCCAGCUCUGAAACUCUUACUAGGUCUGCCUCACUAAAGACAAUUUAUGGCGGAAGUUCAUGUACAUAUUUAUUUUGUUGCUAAAGAGUUUGCUGGCAUACUUCAAAGUGUGGGCUAUUGCCUGUUCAGGUUUAUUGCCUGCUUGAGUGAAUUAUUGCCUACCUGAACAGGCCUGCUGAGCAAUAGUUCAAAUUAAAACAUGUCAUUUAUCAUGUUCACACCAAUCCAAAAUGACCGCAAAACCCAAGGUGUAAUUAUUGCCAGCCUCUGACUGCAGAGCUAUCACAGCAAGCUCUCAGCCAAUGGGGAAUACUGGUUCCUCUCUUCAAAGGCAAUCUGCUGCUUUCUUCGUAAUCAACAAAUAUGACCCUAGCAUUAACAGUAAUGCUGUUUCACAUGCUGAUAUUCACCUCUGAAACAACUUUUAAAUAUAGUGGAAGAGCGUGGCAUGGAUGCCAUCCAAGAUGACUUCUUCUUCAAAAUGCAGUUUUAGACCAGAAAUUUUUCAUUCAGAUUUCUUCUUUAAAGAACAAGUCUUGCAGUUUUCACCAAUAUCUGGAAAGUAGAUUGACACACAUCCUGGAAUGAGGGUGGUAUUUUUAUUGCUGUUAUUUUUUCAUUGCUACUACCAAGAGAAAUAUCAGCACCAGCAUCAGCUGUGGACUCCUGUGUGCCUACAGCUGUAGUAAGUGAAGUCUGUACACCCAUAUUCUGCUCUGUCCUUUUCUAUCCCUGUUGUUUAUUGUGUCAUCUUUCCUUAUUCCUUGAUAUAUCCCAGGGCUGGUGUCAUAUUUUAACCUAAAACUUGUAGGGCUACAGCUGCCUAUGGUAUGUAUAUGAAAGCAAGGAAAAGCAGCAAUAUAUGUACUGUGCUGUUCCCUUGCAUCCCUCCCUAACCCUUCCUGGCUCAUCCAGGGCUUUUGAGCUUUUUCUGGAUAACAUAAAUCUUUUGAAGUAGGAGAGAAAUAAACCUUUUUGUCUGUG